rnacentral:rRNA from 1 species
AUUGAACGCUGGCGGCAGGCCUAACACAUGCAAGUCGAGCGGAGCGGCGGACGGGUGAGUAAUGCCUAGGAAUCUGCCUGGUAGUGGGGGAUAACGUCCGGAAACGGGCGCUAAUACCGCUAACUAUCACAAUAGCCUAGGUCGGUUUAGCUAGUUGGUGGGGGAAAGGCCUACCUAGGCGACGACCCCUAGCUGGUCUGAGUGGAUGACCAGCCACACUGGAACUGAGACACGGUCCAGACGCCGACGGUAGGCAGCAGUGGGGAAUAUUGCACAAUGGGCGCAAGCCUGAUGCAGCCAUGCCGCGUGUAUGAAGAAGGCCUUCGGGUUGUAAAGUACUUUCAGCGGGGAGGCGUUACCCGCAGAAGAAGCACCGGCUAACUCCGUGCCAGCAGCCGCGGUAAUAC